UACGUAGGGGGCUAGCGUUAUCCGGAAUUACUGGGCGUAAAGGGUGCGUAGGUGGUUUCUUAAGUCAGAGGUGAAAGGCUACGGCUCAACCGUAGUAAGCCUUUGAAACUGGGUCACUUGAGUGCAGAAGAGGAAAGUGGAAUUCCAUGUGUAGCGGUGAAAUGCGUAGAUAUAUGGAGGAACACCAGUGGCGAAGGCGACUUUCUGGUCUGUAACUGACGCUGAGGCUCGAAAGCGUGGGGAGCAAACAGGAUUAGAUACCCGCGUAGUCCCUGAG
rnacentral:rRNA from 1 species